rnacentral:rRNA from 1 species
GUAGGGAAUAUUGCGCAAUGGGCGAAAGCCUGAUCCAGCCAUGCCGCGUGUGUGAAGAAGGUCUUCGGAUUGUAAAGCACUUUAAGUUGGGAGGAAGGGCAGUAAGUUAAUACCUUGCUGUUUUGACGUUACCGACAGAAUAAGCACCGGCUAACUUCGUGCCAGCAGCCGCGGUAAUACGAAGGGUGCAAGCGUUAAUCGGAAUUACUGGGCGUAAAGCGCGCGUAGGUGGUUUUGUAAGUUGGAGGUGAAAUCCCCGGGCUCAACCUGGGAACUGCCUCCAAAACUGCAUGACUAGAGUACGGUAGAGGGUAGUGGAAUUUCCUGUGUAGCGGUGAAAUGCGUAGAUAUAGGAAGGAACACCAGUGGCGAAGGCGACUACCUGGACUGAUACUGACACUGAGGUGCGAAAGCGUGGGGAGCAAACAGGAUUAGAAACCCCGGUAGUCC